rnacentral:rRNA from 1 species
UUAAGCAUAUUACUAAGCGGAGGAAAAGAAACCAACGGGGAUUCCCAUAGUAACUGCGAGUGAAAUGGGAAGAGCCCAGCGCUGAAUCCGAGGGUCGGCAACGGCCUUUGGAGCUGUAGCGUGAAGGUGGUUCUAAUCCGUGCGGCUGGCUGGCGUAAGUUCUCAUGAGUGAGACUCCAUGCCAUGGAGGGUGCAAGCCCCGUAUCGCCGGCAGCCUGUGCGGAUAUAAAGCUACCAGAGAGUCGCCUUGUUUGCGAGUACAAGGUGAAGUCGGUGGUAAACGCCAUCGAAGGCUAAAUAUGACCACGAGUCCGAUAGCGAACAAGUACAGUGAUGGAAAAUUGAAAAGCACUUUGAAGAGAGAGUGAAACAGUGCGUGAAACCGCUCAGAGGCAAGCAGUUGGGGCCUCGAAGACAGAGCAGUGAAUUCAGUCGGUAGUCGGUGAGGCUGAUGGGAUGUGGGACCGCAACGCCCUGCCUGUCAGUAUGUAGCCGCUGCUGAUGCACUUUUGCUGCUUGUACGCCUCCGCCGUUGAGCUGCGUCCGUUCGGCUGUAAUGUGGAGCCCAGCACCUUCGGGUAUUGGUGCUCACGUAUGGUUCGAGCGCGUUCGUGGUUCAACCGGUCAUGUCGGCAUGUGCCAGGGUAACCGUUGGGCUCAGCGCUCUGCUGUCGUGUAGUGGAUGACGGUCGCAAGACCGGCUCUGCUGCCGAUGGUAGAAUCGCGAAGGUUUUCAACGUGGCACAUUGUAGAUUCGGAGGCGAGUAGAUGGCUGCCCAACUAACCCGUCUUGAAACCGG